GUUUUGGUAGCUUAACUCAAGCAUCGGUCUUGUAAGCCGAAGACUGGAGGUGCAACCCCUCCCCAAAACA
rnacentral:tRNA from 1 species